UACGAAGGGGGCUAGCGUUGCUCGGAAUCACUGGGCGUAAAGCGCACGUAGGCGGAUUGCUAAGUCAGGGGUGAAAUCCUGGAGCUCAACUCCAGAACUGCCUUUGAUACUGGCGACCUUGAGUCCGGGAGAGGUGAGUGGAACUGCGAGUGUAGAGGUGAAAUUCGUAGAUAUUCGCAAGAACACCGAUGGCGAAGGCAGGCCAAUCUGGACCG
rnacentral:rRNA from 1 species